AUGGAGUUGUACACUGGAGGUUUUAAGGCCCGGUCACCCUGCGAAAUUUCCCAGGCUCUGUCACAGCGCUGCUCCGCCAUCGGAUAUGGAAAAACUUUAGAAGAUUCAGGAAUUUUUGAGAAGCUACGUCGCGAUUCGGCUUUAAAGCACGGCUCGUUUGAUUCGGCUAUGAGCUUCAUUUUACUCCUUAUGGAGUUUGCACUAUCGGGUUUAAAAAAAGCCUUUGGUGUUGUUGCUAUAAUGAAAUUCUUUACCUUGCAAAUGCCAAAAUCAUUUAAAUGA